rnacentral:rRNA from 1 species
UACGAAGGGUCCAAGCGUUGUCCGGAUUUACUGGGCUUAAAGGGUGCGUAGGCGGUCUUUUAAGUCAGUGGUGAAAGCUUGCAGCUUAACUGUAAAAUUGCCAUUGAAACUGAAAGUCUCGAGUGUGGUUGAGGUAACUGGAAUAUAUCAUGUAGCGGUGAAAUGCUUAGAUAUGAUAUAGAACACCAAUUGCGAAGGCAGGUUACUGAGCCACAACUGACGCUGAGGCACGAAAGCGUGGGGAUCAAACAGG